rnacentral:rRNA from 1 species
AGUGAACGCUGGCGGUAGGCCUAACACAUGCAAGUCGAACGGCAGCACAGUAAGAGCUUGCUCUUACGGGUGGCGAGUGGCGGACGGGUGAGGAAUACAUCGGAAUCUACUUUUUCGUGGGGGAUAACGUAGGGAAACUUACGCUAAUACCGCAUACGACCUACGGGUGAAAGCAGGGGAUCUUCGGACCUUGCGCGAUUGAAUGAGCCGAUGUCGGAUUAGCUAGUUGGCGGGGUAAAGGCCCACCAAGGCGACGAUCCGUAGCUGGUCUGAGAGGAUGAUGCGCCACAAGGGAAGGAAGACGGGGCACGGACCCCUGCGGGAGGCAGCGGUGGGGAAUAUUGGACAAUGGGCGCAGGCUUUCCCCACCCAUACGGGGUGGGUGAAAAGGGCCUUGUGUUUGUAAAGCCUUUUUGUUGGGAAAAAAAAGAAGCAGUUUAAUACCCCGUUGUUCUGACGGCACCCAAAGAAUAAGCACCGGCUAACUUCGUG